rnacentral:rRNA from 1 species
UACAGAGGGGGCAAGCGUUGUUCGGAAUUACUGGGCGUAAAGGGCGCGUAGGCGGCCAACUAAGUCAGACGUGAAAUCCCCAGGCUCAACCUGGGAACUGCGUCUGAUACUGGAUGGCUCGAGUUCGGGAGAGGGGAAGCGGAAUUCCAGGUGUAGCGGUGAAAUGCGUAGAUAUCUGGAGGAACACCGGUGGCGAAGGCGGCUUCCUGGACCGACACUGACGCUGAGGCGCGAAAGCUAGGGGAGCAAACGGG